rnacentral:rRNA from 1 species
GACGAACGCUGGCGGCGUGCCUAAUACAUGCCAGUAGAACGCACAGUUUAUACCGUAGCUUGCUACACCAUAAACUGUGAGUUGCGAACGGGUGAGUAACGCGUAGGUAACCUGCCUGGUAGCGGGGGAUAACUAUUGGAAACGAUAGCUAAUACCGCAUAAUAUUGAUUAUUGCAUGAUAAUUGAUUGAAAGAUGCUAUUGCAUCACUACCAGAUGGACCUGCGUUGUAUUAGCUAGUAGGUGAGGUAACGGCUCACCUAGGCGACGAUACAUAGCCGACCUGAGAGGGUGAUCGGCCACACUGGGACUGAGACACGGCCCAGACUCCUACGGGAGGCAGCAGUAGGGAAUCUUCGGCAAUGGACGAAAGUCUGACCGAGCAACGCCGCGGGAGUGAAGAAGGGUUUCGGAUCGUAAAGCUCUGUUGUAAGAGAAGAACGGGUGUGAGAGUGGAAAGUUCACACUGUGACGGUAUCUUACCAGAAAGGGACGGCUAACUACGUG